rnacentral:rRNA from 1 species
CCUACUGGAGGCAGCAGUGGGGAAUAUUGCACAAUGGGGGAAACCCUGAUGCAGCGACGCCGCGUGAGCGAUGAAGUAUUUCGGUAUGUAAAGCUCUAUCAGCAGGGAAGAAAAUGACGGUACCUGACUAAGAAGCCACGGCUAACUACGUGCCAGCAGCCGCGGUAAUACGUAGGGGGCAAGCGUUAUCCGGAUUUACUGGGUGUAAAGGGAGCGUAGACGGCUGUGCAAGCCAGUUGUGAAAGCCCGGGGCUCAACCCCGGGACUGCAUUUGGAACUGUGUGGCUGGAGUGCCGGAGAGGCAGGCGGAAUUCCUAGUGUAGCGGUGAAAUGCGUAGAUAUUAGGAGGAACACCAAUGGCGAAGGCAGCCUGCUGGACGAUGACUGACGUUGAGGCUCGAAAGCGUGGGGAGCAAACAGGAUUAGAUACCCGUGUAGUC